rnacentral:misc_RNA from 1 species
UACGUAGGGGGCAAGCGUUAUCCGGAUUUACUGGGUGUAAAGGGAGCGUAGACGGCUUAGCAAGUCUGAAGUGAAAGCCCGCGGCUCAACUGCGGGGCUGCUUUGGAAACUGUGUUGCUGGAGUGCCGGAGAGGUAAGUGGAAUUCCUAGUGUAGCGGUGAAAUGCGUAGAUAUUAGGAGGAACACCAGUGGCGAAGGCGGCUUACUGGACGGUAACUGACGUUGAGGCUCGAAAGCGUGGGGAGCAAACAGG